CAUCUGCUCCCCUCAACUUGAUUUCAAAUGUCAAUGAGACGUCAGUGAACUUGGAAUGGAGCAGUCCUCAGAACACAGGUGGCCGUCAGGACAUUUCUUACAAUGUGGUCUGCAAGAAAUGUGGAGCGGGUGACCCCAGCAAGUGCCGGCCCUGUGGAAGUGGAGUUCACUACACGCCACAGCAGAACGGCCUCAAGACGACCAGAGUCUCCAUCACCGACCUCCUAGCACACACCAAUUACACGUUUGAGAUCUGGGCAGUGAAUGGAGUGUCUAAAUAUAACCCUAGUCCGGACCAGUCAGUGUCUGUCACCGUGACAACCAACCAAGCAGCGCCAUCAUCCAUUGCCUUGGUCCAGGCUAAAGAAGUCACCAGAUACAGUGUGGCUCUGGCUUGGUUGGAACCAGAUCGACCAAAUGGAGUAAUCUUAGAGUAUGAAGUCAAGUAUUAUGAAAAGGACCAGAAUGAACGAAGCUAUCGCAUAGUGCGGACAGCUGCUAGGAACACAGAUAUCAAAGGCCUGAACCCUCUGACUUCCUAUGUGUUCCACGUGCGAGCCAGGACUGCCGCUGGCUAUGGAGACUUCAGCGAGCCCUUGGAGGUCACUACCA